CUGUGGCACACGGCCAGCUGCUUGUUGAUCACAGCCUGAUGGUGCUCACCAGGGAGCCCCAGAGGGGAAGAAGACCUAGGACACUGCUGCUCCUGGAGCAGGGAGCAGAGAUGCCCCCAGGGCACUGGAGAAAGACCAGCAGGGAAGCAGAGGAUGGAGGAGCCUGUGAUUUAACCAUCACGUGCUGGCCGUAACUACAGGUCCAUACGAGAAAAUCAGGUGUUCCCAUCCGUGGAAGACUUUGCCCACCUGCGGUGUCUGGAGACAACUUUUGUGGCCUCAAGGAGAAGCGGUCCUGUAUCAAGUGGGCGGGAGCCAAGGGAGCUGCCAGACACCUACAAUGCUCAGGAAGCCUCCACUGCAGAGUUAUGCCCCAAAACGUCAAUAGUUUCCAAGCAGAGAAAAUCCCUGGUCCCUACAAAUCUCCCCACCCUCUCUCCUAUGCCCCAACCCCAGGGCACUGGAGCAAGGCUGCCUUAGUGCACCCGAAGCUAUGCCCAAGGGUCCCUGCAGAAGGCCCCAGGGGCCUCCCUUGCAACUUUCCCAGAGGAAUUUCCUUGCACACACCCAUCCAGCUACUGCACCCGAUGAGCCCCAUGGGGGACUCGGAUCCCACAGUGGGCACCAGCAGCCUGGGCACCAGGCUGCAGAUCCGUUACACACUGCAGUCCUGUCCAGGCUUCAGGCGCAGGGUGCUGGAGCCCGCUCUCCUCCGCUGCUUGCUCUGGGAAGCUGUUAAGGGCUUCCUCGCUCACACAGCAGCCAGACUCACGGAGCAGGGGUGAAGCAGGGGGUGAAAGAAGACCCAAGAUCAGGCUGCUCCCAUCUGAACAGUCCCAGACCCCUUCCCAUGACAAGCCCCACUACCUG